AACUAACGCUGGCGGCGUGCCUAACACAUGCAAGUCGUACGAGAAAGUUGGCUUCGGCCGAUGAGUACAGUGGCGCACGGGUGAGUAACGCGUGGAUAAUCUGCCCUUAAGUGUGGAAUAACGUACCGAAAGGUGCGCUAAUACCGCAUAAUGCCUGGCAACAUAAGUUGUCCGGCCAAAGAAGGCCUCUGCUUGCAAGCUUUCGCUAAAGGAUGAGUCCGCGUACCAUUAGCUAGUUGGUGGGGUAACGGCCUACCAAGGCGACGAUGGUUAGCUGGUCUGAGAGGAUGAUCAGCCACACUGGAACUGAGACACGGUCCAGACUUCUACGGGAGCAGCAGUGAGGAAUAUUGCGCAAUGGGGGCAACCCUGACGCAGCAACGCCGCGUGAGUGAGGAAGGUUUUCGGACUGUAAAGCUCUGUCGAGCGGGAAGAAGUGUACCAUGGCUAAUAUCCAUGAUAUUUGACGGUACCGCUAGAGG
rnacentral:rRNA from 1 species